GAGGCGUGCGUGGUGUACGACGUGGUCUUCAACACCGAGGUGAUGGAGCAGGC
rnacentral:tRNA from 1 species